rnacentral:rRNA from 1 species
UACGGAGGGGGCUAGCGUUGUUCGGAAUUACUGGGCGUAAAGCGCGCGUAGGCGGAUCUGCAAGUCGGGGGUGAAAUCCCGAGGCUCAACCUCGGAACUGCCUUCGAUACUGCGGGUCUCGAGUCCGGGAGAGGUGAGUGGAAUUCCUAGUGUAGAGGUGAAAUUCGUAGAUAUUAGGGAGAACACCAGUGGCGAAGGCGGCUCACUGGCCCGGUACUGACGCUGAGGCGCGAAAGCGUGGGGAGCAAACAGG